ACAACGGCAAUUAGAGACCUGAUUAGCAAAGGUUAAGUGCUUUGCGCCUCCUCUGGCCGAUUUCAAUCGGCGUGGUCUCGAGGCUAAGUGUCGCGAGGAGUCUUGCCAUCAGGGACAUUGAUGGAACCAUAGAUUGAAAAGGAAGGGGAUUGGAAACGACCAGGCCUCCCUGUGUAAAUGGUUGAAACACUCCGCGUUAUGAUUUUGCGCUCGUGAUUAUUUUUGUUUUGACCGUACUCUGGUUGUAUUUCAACUGUUUCUAGGUCUCCUAUCCACUAGCGAUCACUCAGAGGCUGGGAGGUUACUCUAGAGAAGUAAGUUUACACCACUGACAAGCUCUAACUUGUCUAAGUCCGCUGUUUUUACUCUGUUUUUAGUUUUUGUUGAGUAUAGCUUGAAUUACUCCAUGUCAACUUUUCUCUUUCCCUGCUGCGAAGCCUAAACAGCAAAAGACAUUGCUUGACUUGGUUAUUAUGUAUCUAAGUGCUAUAUAGAAUGGUUUCAUGCCAUAGAUAAGCUUUACUGUUCGUAAACGUUUGCAGUAUAGUCCUUCAAACUGCUUUAGUAUACUUUUAGACACACCACGGGCCUUGACCUCUCACGACUUCAUAGUAAGGGCUAUUCCUUCUUUUAUAGCAUUUAUUUGUUUAGUGAUAGUGGUUGCGUUGCUUAGUCGAUCUUUUAGAGCUAUAUUCUCUUUACUUUUUAGAAUAUUCAACAUUAAAAGUGAUCAAUUUCACCAUUUCUAUGUACAGCACAUUGUAUGGUAUGGCAGCAAAGACAGGUAAUGAGCAUGCUGACUAUAAAAUAAUCCCUUUGUAGUUUUAGCCACGCCCUAUAACGCGGAGUGUUUCACGCAAAAAUUUUCGUUUCCAAUCCCCUUCCUCUUUUGGAACACAGGACAGUCGAAAAGCAACUGGAAUAAAUGCGAGAAGUUUAUUUUCCAGGAAGUGGGCGUGUCCGGAAGCAAAUAGCUGGUGCCAUUGUGUGAGUAGCUGCCUGUAGUUAGAGCUGUGUAGCAUAGACCCAGACCACUGUUAGAAGCUGUUCAAAGCUCAGAAGGCCAGUGAUGACUUUUGUUUCUAUAUUCUCCUUGUCACUGUCACUGGUCUUCGCUGUCUGAGUCCAAUUCAAUUUCCGGCUCUUUCGUUUCAGCAAACUCUCUGCAAAUGGACCAGAAGUACAUUCUGGUCCACAGCCACAGUAAUAAUGGCUGUAUCCCACUGCUGCUAUAACAUUUAGAAAUGCUUAAAAACUCGCUAUUAUGUGGCAAAUAACGGUGAGAUUAAUUAACCUGUUGCUCGUUAAUGUUGGAUGUUCAGGAAUAAUUUAUGAGUAACAUUACAGGUUUAUUCCACUUGCUAGGUAUACUAAAUAAGCUGGGUAGGUUAGUUGAGCUUCUCUACAGUGGGGUAAGCAUAUACAGUGGUCUGUUCAGGCAAUUCCUGAUUAAACAAAUUUUUGACCUGUAAUAUUAGCAUAUUUUUCGUACCACACAGAAUACAAGUAGGACUGAUUUGGACGAUGCUUGGAAUGUAUUGAGGAGGACAUCUGUUGGAUGUAAUACACAAAAAUAAUGUGGCUUAUUGUGUGCUCACAUCUCUCCAACUAGUACUAUUUUGUGGUUUUUUAUAUAGCAUUUUCAACGAUGCAUUUCUCGACUCUCAAUGGAUCGACACGAAAAAGUUAAACAAUUACGUAUAGAUGUUCAUCAAUCCUAUAAGAUAGCACUGAACAUGUUCAAAUUCAUCUCAUACUUUUGCAACAAUUUGUCAGUUCAGUUUGCUGUGGCAUGUAAAUUUGUAUAAAUUUGUUAGUGUUGAAGUUUCUAAGCAAAGCCACAUGGCGGCUUUGUGGCUAUAUUUAGUUCCUGCCAUGUGUAAUAGAUUGGUGCAGGAAGCAGGAAACAAACUGCAAAGGGAAGAGAGUUAUAAAAAAAUGCUACUUUUGCGAAUAGCUCAUUAAUAAUUAUAUUCAUGAGAAAAUAAAACUCCACAUAGGAGCAUGCGCUGGAACCAUUGCCGUUCGACUGGGGAAGAAACUCGUGAAGACCCAGUGAGGGUAGAGUAUAGCGGGGCAAGAGUGAAGUGGUGUUGGUCUAGCCGUACUGAGGAACACACUAUGGAGCAGAACCCAGCUCAGCAUUUCAAAUGCCCAGACUAAACAAGCUAAAAAUGAAGAAACGCCUUCGAAGUGAUGACAACUGGCUGGAGGACGAAGGCUCGGGCAAUGUGGUUGUCGCAAAUACUAAGAGGUUUAAAGGUCGUUGUGUGGACUUCAUACAACAGUGGAGAGGGCUAUGUGUUUCGUAUCAGCGGUGGCAGUGACAAGUAGGGCUUCCCCAUGAAGCAAGGUGUCCUCACUAAUGGCCGUGUUAAGCUCCUCCUCAAGAAGGGGCACAGACCCAGACGCACUUGAGAGAGGAAACGCAAGUCAGUGAGAGGCUGCAUAGUGGACAGCAACCUGAGUGUGCUCAAUCUAGUCAUCAUCAAGAAAGGUGGGUACACAACUCUGCUGAUUUAGAUGUACUCUGAUGAGAAUUGACUUUGUUAGGUGUAACUAUUGGGCAGGGUUUCAUAGAGAGGGGAGGGGAUUCCCCCGAUUAAUGAUGUCAUGAUGUACAAGAAUUAAAAUAAGUGUACUAGAACCCCUUGUGUAUUAUCGUUACGUAGUCAUCGUAUACGUGGCUUAAAUUUAUCAUGGAAAAACACACAUUGCACCUCAGAUAAUCAUUUAAUUGUUCUGGGGAACGACCCCUGACCCCUGACCCCCUGAAUUAAACGCUUCCCCCUCUCAGCUAAACAUUUUUUAGAAGUGCCCGAAAUAUUAUAAUGAAGUGUCAUUGUAAUGAGGUCAUUGUUACCCAGAGUGUCCCCUCAGAUCUGUGCCCGGCCCUACACUGUGUUCCGAUGGUGUCCUGGUGCUAAGAUGCGCUACAAGAGAACAAAGGUCUGCCAAUCAUGUGCCCAACUCAAGAACGUCUGUUAAACCUGUCUCCUUGUACCGCCCACCGCGGAUCAGGAUCUCCUGGACUACAACGGAAUUGUCAACCAGCCAAGGCCACAGCGAAGGAUUCUUUUAGAGCAUUCGCCUCCGUCGGGCAAAGAAAGAUGCAACUAACUUUUAGGCAACUGCCUAGCAUUCUCUGUCGGGAUCUCCUGGUUUGGAACGGACCAGCCAAGGCCACAGCACUUCAUAGGUAAGCUUUGUGGCUGUGUAUUAAACUGCUAGUACGCUUACUCUACAUAUAGAUAGCUUGUAAAGUAGUAAAUGUACACUGGUUACGUGUUACAGUCAGUACUAAGUAUUUCUACUCAUGUUCAACAGGCAGGAUAAAAACUCAUAGGAGUUGACGUUUUAUACAACUAGUUACAUGUUCUUAUGCCAUAGCAUAAAACAGUCAGAUGAGGGGUUGCCAGUGUGGCAAAACCACUUCUCGCACUGUAGGCAAAACCAUGCUGUGUCCUUCCUUUUGUUUUUCUGAUAACACAGAUGGCAACGACCUCUGCGUACAUCCAUGGUGGUGAAGAGGGAAGUGAGCUAUUCCUAGCGAUUUCAAGGGUGUCUUGCUCUUUUUGGAGCAGUAGUCGCCAAUUAGCUUCUUGGCCAACUCGUGACGAAAUGAGAGGAGGGUUUUCAGUGCGUUGGUGGGUGAAUACUGUCGAUAUAAUAUGUAGCUGUUCGUAAUGCAAAUAUCCUUUAGGAAGAAGUAAAUGUACAUAUAAAACUUAUGGACUUUUGUAGGGCAUCUGUAGUACCCUCUGAGCUGAUCCCCUCUGUCAACACCCCCCAUGAAGCGAUUAUGGUCCUCGAUGCUCUGUGGGCACGGGACGGAGAUUUUUUCGCCUGUCUUGACUGUACGUUGUACAGAGAUAACCGAAGUGGCGUCAGAGGCUGUGGAGAUCACACGGACAACCCUAUUGUCACUGAGACCGUCACCUUUUUCUUUCUGGAGAGUCAUGUAUUCCCCCCUGAAAAGGUAAAUAAUAAUUAUGCUUAUUACUUUCUGUCAGCUUUGGCUGCUUGAGAGCCUUGGAGAAGCCUCUGCGGUCAGCGCGAGCUGUACCACAAGUAUAAAUGCCAUCCUUCUCCAAGUCUUCCAACAGUUUGACAGACGUGAAAAAGUUGUCAAAAUAGACGUGGUGGUGCUUGCAUGUGCUUCAACGAGGCUGUGAGGUCUUUCACAACUCAUGCUCCCAGUUGCUUCUCUGGUGUGGCUUCUCUCCCUGUAUACACUUGUAGCAUGUGGAAGUACCCGUCUGCUAGGACCCAAACCUUGAUUCCUCUCUUCACAGGUUUAUUUGGGAGGUACUGUUUCAGUGCAGAUCUACCCUGAAACUUUAUCAUUGCCUCGUCUACUGCAACUUCACGGCCUAAGUUGUAUGCAGCAGAACAGCGCUCGUUGAUCUUAUUGAAGAGGGGGCGUACUUUGGCCAAACGAUCGCUACCUGGGGUGCCUGGAGUCGGGAGAGUGGUGUUGUCCGUGAAAUGGAGGUAUCGUCGGAUGUCCCUAAAGCGAUCGCGUGAGAUCUUCGAUGCAAUUG